ensembl:lncRNA
AGUUGUAGAUGCAGUUGUUGCUACUGUUGUUGGUUCUGUGCUUGUUUUAGUUGGAGCUGGAGUAGUUGUAGAUACAGUUAUUUCUAUUGUUGUUGGUUCUGUUCUUGUUGUAGCCUGUGUAGUUGAUUCUGUGGUAGUGGUUAGUUCUGUUGUUGCUGCUGUAGAUGAUGUUGUACUUGGAGCUGUAGUUGUUGCUUCCUCAGUUGGAGCUGGAGUAGUUGUAGAUGCAGUUGUUGCUACUGUUGUUGGUUCUGUGCUUGUUGUAGCCUGUGUAGUUGAUUCUGUGGUAGUGGUUAGUUCUGUUGUUGCUGCUGUAGAUGAUGUUGUACUUGGAGCUGUAGUUGUUGCUUCCUCAGUGGGAGCUGGAGUAUUUGUAGAUGCAAUUGUUCCUACUGUUGUUGGUUCUGCACUUGUAACCUUUGUAGUUGAUAGUUCUGUAGUUGGUAUUGUUGUCAGUACAGUUGUACUUGUAGUAGUUUCCUCUGUAGUACUGGGUUCCUGAGAUGUAGUGGUUGGGGCUACAGUUGUUGUAGAUGCAGUUGUUGGUACUGUUGUCAAUACAGUUGUAGCUGUGGUUGUUUCCUCUGUUGUUGUUGCUUCCUCAGUUGUAGUUGUUGGAGCUGGAGUAGUUGUAGAUGCAGUUAUUUCAAUUGUUGUUGGUUCUGUUCUUGUUGUAGCCUGUGUAGUUGAUUCUGUGGUAGUGGUUAGUUCUGUUGUUGCUGCUGUAGAUGAUGUUGUACUUGGAGCUGUAGUUGUUUCCUCUGUAGUUGUUGCUUCCUCAGUUGGAGUACUUGGAGCUGGAGUAGUUGUAGAUGCAGUUAUUUCAAUUGUUGUUGGUUCUGUGCUUGUUGUAGCCUGUGUCGAUGAUUCUGUGGUAGUAGUUAGUUCUGUUGUUGCUGCUGUAGAUGAUGAUGUACUUGGAGCUGUAGUUGUUUCCUCUGUAGUUGUUGCUUCCUCAGUUGGAGCUGGAGUAGUUGUAGAUGCAGUUGUUCCUACUGUUGUUGGUUCUGUGCUUGUUGUAGCCUCUGUAGUUGAUUCUGUGGUAGUAGUUAGUUCUGUUGUUGCUGCUGUAGAUGAUGUUGUACUUGAAGCUGUAGUUGUUUCCUCUGUAGUUGUUGCUUCCUCAGUUGGAGCUGGAGUAGUUGUUGAUGCAGUUGUUCCUACUGUUGUUGGUUCUGCACUUGUAACCUUUGUAGUUGAUAGCUCUGUAGUUGGUAUUGUUGUCAGUACAGUUGUACUUGUAGUAGUUUCCUCUGUAGUACUUGGUUCCUGAGUUGUAGUGGUUGGGGCUACAGUUGUUGUAGAUGCUGUUGUUGGUACUGUUGUUGGUUCUGUGCUUGUUGUAGCCUGUGUAGUUGAUUCUGUGGUAGUGGUUAGUUCUGUUGUUGCUGCUGUAGUUAAUGUUGUACUUGGAGCUGUAGUUGUUGCUUCCUCAGUUGGAGCUGGAGUAGUU